rnacentral:rRNA from 1 species
UACGUAGGUGGCAAGCGUUAUCCGGAAUUAUUGGGCGUAAAGCGCGCGCAGGCGGUUUCCUAAGUCUGAUGUGAAAGCCCACGGCUCAACCGUGGAGGGUCAUUGGAAACUGGGAGACUUGAGUGCAGAAGAGGAAAGUGGAAUUCCAUGUGUAGCGGUGAAAUGCGUAGAGAUAUGGAGGAACACCAGUGGCGAAGGCGACUUUCUGGUCUGUAACUGACACUGAGGCGCGAAAGCGUGGGGAGCAAACAGG